rnacentral:rRNA from 1 species
CUACGGGUGGCAGCAGCGGAUCAUUUACAAUGCACGAAAGUGUGAUAAUGCGAGCCAAAGUGCUUUUCGUUUAGAAAAGCUUUUCUUCAACGUAAAUAAUUGGAGGAAUAAGGACUGGGAAAGACUGGUGCCAGCCGCCGCGGUAAUACCAGCAGUUCAAGUCGCAUCCAUUUUUAUUGGGUCUAAAACAUCCGUAGUUUGCCAUUUAAGUCUCUUGUGAAAUCGUACGUCUCAAGCGCACGACUUGCAGGAGAUACUGAUAGGCUAGAGAUCGGUAGACGUAAGGAGUACGCCGGGGGUAACGGUUAAAUGUGUUAAUCCUCGGUGGACUAACAAUGAGCGAAGGCACCUUACGAGGACGAAUCUGACAGUCAGGGAUGAAGGCCAGGGGCGCAAAACGGAUUAGAUACCCGAGUAGUC